CCUACGGGAGGCAGCAGUGGGGAAUAUUGCACAAUGGGGGAAACCCUGAUGCAGCGACGCCGCGUGAGUGAAGAAGUAUCUCGGUACGUAAAGCUCUAUCAGCAGGGAAGAAAAUGACGGUACCUGACUAAGAAGCCCCGGCUAACUACGUGCCAGCAGCCGCGGUAAUACGGAGGGGGCAAGCGUUAUCCGGAUUUACUGGGUGGAAAGGGAGCGUAGACGGCAGCACAAGUCUGGAGUGAAAUCCCGGGGCUUAACCCCGGAACUGCUUUGGAAAAUGUGCGGCUGGAGUGCAGGAGGGGUAAGCGGAAUUCGUAGUGUAGCGGUGAAAUGCGUAGAUAUUAGGAGGAACACCGGUGGCGAAGGCGGCUUACUGGACUGUAACUGACGUUGAGGCUCGAAAGCGUGGGGAGCAAACAGGAUUAGAUACCCUGGUAGUC
rnacentral:rRNA from 1 species